rnacentral:rRNA from 1 species
UACGAAGGGGGCUAGCGUUGUCCGGAUUCAUUGGGCGUAAAGGGUGCGUAGGUGGCGCCGUAAGUCAGGUGUGAAAUCUCGGGGCUCAACCCCGAAACUGCACUUGAUACUGCGGUGCUCGAGUACUGGAGAGGAGAUUGGAAUUUACGGUGUAGCAGUGAAAUGCGUAGAUAUCGUAAGGAAGACCAGUGGCGAAGGCGAAUCUCUGGACAGUUACUGACACUGAGGCACGAAGGCCAGGGGAGCAAACGGG